UUACACCUGGUAUUAAAAUGCGAUCUGUAUCCAGAUAAGUUAUCCGGAUAAUAAGUGUUCUGAUCUUACCUUUGCAUUUACACCUUGUAUUUUUAAGUCGUUCUCGUUAUCCACAUUGAGUUCGGAUCUCUGUCCUCCCUGGCUGCCACUGAGGUGGCGGGAAAUCAGCUGUACGAAUGCCAUCACGUCGUACGGAUUGCGUUUACACCUAGUAAAGAUCCGAACACAAUGCGAGCCAGACUACCUCCAGAUGUGGUCAGGC